rnacentral:lncRNA from 1 species
AAAGCUUCACCUGCCUAACUCCUACUGAGCCUUCAGCCUCAGCAUGGACCCCACCUCCUUGCAGAGGCCUUCCCUGAGCCUCCAGACUAGGCCAGGUCCCCUCCCUGGAGAUUUCUGAUUUCGGCCAGGAGUAGCAUUUCCAACAAGCCCCCAAGUGAUUUUUUAAAAAGUAGAAGUUUGGAAGACUCUGCACACCGCUGCCCGGGGCUCUCACAGCACUCUUCAUUCUCCCGUCUCACUGGGCACACCUGGAACUGAUUAGUUACCUCCCUAAUGGCUGGGUCCACAUCUGUCUCGUCCAAGCCCAGUGGAGGGAUACAGCCAUGAUUGAGGCAGACCCCAUCCCUGCUCUCCUAGAGCCUACAAUUCAGCACGUGGCUUGCUGGGAGGAUACACGUCCACCCAUUGUUUCUAUUUCCAA